AUCCUUGGUAAUUAAAUUAAUUAAAGUCAUUAGUUUUAAACUCACACGACAAAGCACAAUACCCAAACACCUCCUGUCAGCCUGGGCCGGACCGGUCUGACCGGUCUCGGCAACUGGUCUGACCGGUCUGACCGAUGUCAACCGUUUUGGGCCCCACAGCAUUUAAAUCUCUCUCUCACUCCCUCACCAGAACACACGCCCUCACCCAGCUCUCUCAGUCUCCCUCCCGAGCUCUCCCCUCCCAUAUUCUCCUCCAAACCCUAGAGCCCAAAACUUCCCCCUCCAUUUGAUUCCAAGGACUAGAACGGAUCAAACAGACGUGAGGAAGCUUCAUCUCCUCGAUUCCUUCCCUUGGGUGCUGUGGAUUCAAGCUCUCCACGGGGGAAAGCUUCUCUCAAGCAGCCACGGCGGAGGAGGUCGUGUACGAGGUGGUUGCGGAGCCACAUGAGCCGCAGGGGCCAGCCCCGCAAGAGGAGGUUCGCGGGGAGUCGGCCCAAGGCCCAACUCACCCUAGUGUUGAGCAACAGACGCAAGGCAAGCCCCGGUGCAUAUCAUUUUAUUUCAAACUAUGACACAUAUAUUUAUGUUGCUAUUACUUGUGCAUUAGGUUUAGAAAUUGUUUGGAACCCUAGUUGCAUGAUCCCUAGGUUUCCUCGAGUUGUAUUAGUAUGUAGAAGACGAUAGAAAUGCUAUGCUUAAUAGAACUCGGUAGAAGUCGAGUGAUUUCGAGUCACUCGCGAGAUAUAGGGCAUUUAGUUAAGUUAAAUUUAUGGAAUGUUGAAUUAGGUAAGAAAGGAACAGAAUUUGGAGACCCGGCGGGGAGAGGUUAGCCCCGUCUGUGUCGGUUAAGGACCGUUCAUUGUCUGGCCCUGUGAUUGAGUUUGAACAGUACUAACCGUAUACCGGGAGUAGGAGGUAGUCGAAACCGGUAAUCCGAGUACUGCUUUGCUUCGAAAGUACAGGAACCUGCACCCAACUCCUGGGGCGAGUUGAGUAGUCGCGGAGAAUUGGGAUGCAUAUGUUUACUUUUGGUGGUCUCACGUUGAGCUCGGCUGACCAUAUGUCGUUGGGCUGGUUCCUGUAGUUCGAGGCGGGGAGGGGAAAUGUUGGUGCGUGGGGUCCGACGGGGCUUUUGCGUGCCGUGUUGGUUAAGUCCACCUUGCAAGGUUAAAUCGGAUCGAUUCGCCGUCAGUCGCUCUCGGAUAUGAGCACCUUGAUCGCAGCACCGCAUCGUAGUAAUGUCUUAUGGAACUUAAGUGAUGAUUGGAAAUGACUACCAUGAAUUACUACUCCGUGUCUGUUAUGAUUUCUUAGCAGGUGCAAAUACUAGUUGAGAAUGAUAGAAUAUAGAAUUGGGAGCUAAAAGUGGAAAAAAUAAGGACUCAUUUUAGAAGCUUUUUAUGCAAAAUAACCACCAGCCAGAAAGCCAUGCAUGUCUAGAUAUGUGGGCUAAGUUAUACCCACUGGUCGGGUAAGCCUUGCUGAGUAUUAGUAUACUCAGGGUUUGUUGCCACAAUUAUUAUUUCAGGACACCCGGACGUCGAUUUCUGCCCCUGUUGUGUCAUGUUCAUCCGCCGGGAUGCAGAGGGGUGGCAGGUCGAGGAGCGGGAUCCUUAGGUUAGGGCGCUGUCGAGUUGUACACUUGUGGGCUGAGUGUGUAGCCUUUCUGUUUUGCGUAGACCGGUCUGACCGGUCCGUGGGACCAGUCUGACCGGUGGAGUUGGCAGUGUGGUGCCGACCGGUUCGACCGGUUGGGUGAACCGGUCCGACCGGUCGGGGUGGGUCAGAACUGAUGUAAGCUAGAGUAGUUGUAGGAUCUUUAUACUCGACUUCAGUCAUGUCUAUGUAAGUGUUAAUCUUGUAAAUUAUUUAUGUAUUUGAACUCGGUUGUAAAACUAAAUGUUUCGUGUCGUGAUCACUCUUGUAUUUUCAUGUAA